AGAAAGCACUCGUUACACCAUGUCCUUAUAUUCAAUUAAACCAAUUAACUCAGUGAAAUCUCUUCUGGCUCAGUGAGCACCACACUGGACCAAUAUCCUGUUUUUGUCUCCUCCUUGAAGAGGCUGUGGUUUAGAGCAGGGAGGUGGAACAGCUGGUCAUGCAGCUCUUACUGAAAAGCCAUGGGUAACUCUUCAUGCUGUUCAUCGUCACAGGAAAUCAUAAGAGCCUUAAAUCACAUUCCGAGUCCGUUGGCCGACUGACCGCGCGCUCAGGUGCAGUGUUACAGCAGCACGUCUUUUAACUUUAACUACAAGUUCACUGUGAGCCAUGCAGCAGAUACACGGGACUUUAGAGAACGUCGAGUGAAAAUCGGAGGCAGAACUGUCGGGCCGAGGCGGCGCACAUCCCUCACUGAUAACGCUGACAGAAAAUAAUAAUCCGGACAGGAAAAGAGACAGGCGGAGAAAUGGAGUGGGCUUCAUAUUCAGUAAUUACAUUCAACUGCAUUCAGCUGAGGAGGUUCAGCGCGUGGUUCACGGCGUGGUGGUGUGGGGGAGAGAGAACCUCGCUUCACAGCAACUUCACAGCAGAUCUGAUGGUUUAAAGAAGGAAUUUCAUCUGGCCUUGUGGAGUGUGUGCCUCUGGCUUGUGGUGGGAAAUGAUCGCCAUCGUGGAAGCACAUGUGAGGAGAUUUAAAACCAGCAGAUGUACAUCGCAGCAUCAGAAUACAGCCACUGGACCACAGACAGGGUCACCAGAUCACGGGGAGAAC